GUAGCUAACGCAUUAAGUGCCCCGCCUGGGGAGUACGGCCGCAAGGCUAAAACUCAAAGGAAUUGACGGGGGCCCGCACAAGCGGCGGAGCAUGCGGAUUAAUUCGAUGCAACGCGAAGAACCUUACCAAGGCUUGACAUGUGCCAGACCGCCGUGGAAACACGGUUUCCCCUUUGGGGCUGGUUCACAGGUGGUGCAUGGUUGUCGUCAGCUCGUGUCGUGAGAUGUUGGGUUAAGUCCCGCAACGAGCGCAACCCUCGUUCCAUGUUGCCAGCGGGUCGUGCCGGGGACUCAUGGGAGACUGCCGGGGUCAACUCGGAGGAAGGUGGGGACGACGUCAAGUCCUCAUGGCCUUUAUGUCCAGGGCUACACACGUGCUACAAUGGAUGGUACAACGGGCUGCGACGCCGCGAGGCUGAGCUAAUCCCUGAAAGCCAUCCUCAGUACGGAUUGCAGUCUGCAACUCGACUGCAUGAAGGUGGAAUCGCUAGUAAUCCCGGAUCAGCAUGCCGGGGUGAAUACGUUCCCGGGCCUUGUACACACCGCCCGUCACAUCACGAAAGUCGGUUUACCGGAAGGGGGUGGGCUGACCCGCAAGGGGGGCAGCCGUCCCUUAAUGGCCGGCGAUUGGGGUG
rnacentral:rRNA from 1 species